rnacentral:misc_RNA from 1 species
GUAUUGUAUUGCGUUAAACGCGGCAUGCAUUCCAUUAGACUUUAUCACGGCGUGAGUGUAAAGACAUAGAACCACAGCAGGAGGACAGGGCCCCCCAGGCCAUAGAACUACAGAGGGUGCACAGGUGUGAGUGGAUGUGUAAACAGAGCGUGCACAUGCCCCCAUACAGGGGCCAGCAACAACCCUUGUUGACAAUUCGGUAAUGAUCCUUCCGCAGGUUCACCUACGGAAA